CGGUCCAGACUCCUACGGGAGGCAGCAGUAGGGAAUCUUCGGCAAUGGACGAAAGUCUGACCGAGCAACGCCGCGUGAGUGAAGAAGGUUUUCGGAUCGUAAACUCUGUUGUUAGAGAAGAACGUUGUGUAGAGUGGAAAUUACACAAGUGACGGUAUCUAACCAGAAAGGGACGGCUAACUACGUGCCAGCAGCCGCGGUAA
rnacentral:rRNA from 1 species